UGAGGAAUCUGUCCAUCGGCGGGGGAUAGCCGGCCCAACGGCCGGGUAAUACCGCGUACGUCGGCGGGAGCGCAUGCUCCUGCCGGGAAAGCAGCAAUGCACCGAUGGAGGAUCUCGCGGCCUAUCAGCUUGUUGGUGAGGUAACGGCUCACCAAGGCUUCGGACGGGUAGCCGGCCUGAGGAGGGCGACCGGCCACACGUGGGACUGAGACACGGCCCAGACCUCCGUACGGGAGCAG
rnacentral:rRNA from 1 species